GACGAACGCUGGCGGCGUGCUUAACACAUGCAAGUCGAACGAUGAAGCCCAGCUUGCUGGGUGGAUUAGUGGCGAACGGGUGAGUAACACGUGAGUAACCUGCCCUGGACUCUGGGAUAACCCCGAGAAAUCGGAGCUAAUACCGGAUAGGACCUUUCCUCGCAUGAGGUUUGGUGGAAAGUUUUUCGGUUUGGGAUGGACUCGCGGCCUAUCAGCUUGUUGGUGAGGUAAUGGCUCACCAAGGCGUCGACGGGUAGCCGGCCUGAGAGGGUGACCGGCCACACUGGGACUGAGACACGGCCCAGACUCCUACGGGAGGCAGCAGUGGGGAAUAUUGCACAAUGGGCGCAAGCCUGAUGCAGCAACGCCGCGUGCGGGAUGACGGCCUUCGGGUUGUAAACCGCUUUCAGCGGGGACGAAGCGAAAGUGACGGUACCCGCAGAAGAAGCACCGGCUAACUACGUGCCAGCAGCCGCCGUAAGAC
rnacentral:rRNA from 1 species